rnacentral:rRNA from 1 species
ACGCUGGCGGCAGGCCUAACACAUGCAAGUCGAGCGGUAGAGAGAAGCUUGCUUCUCUUGAGAGCGGCGGACGGGUGAGUAAUGCCUAGGAAUCUGCCUGGUAGUGGGGGAUAACGUCCGGAAACGGACGCUAAUACCGCAUACGUCCUACGGGAGAAAGCAGGGGACCUUCGGGCCUUGCGCUAUCAGAUGAGCCUAGGUCGGAUUAGCUAGUUGGUGGGGUAAUGGCUCACCAAGGCGACGAUCCGUAACUGGUCUGAGAGGAUGAUCAGUCACACUGGAACUGAGACACGGUCCAGACUCCUACGGGAGGCAGCAGUGGGGAAUAUUGGACAAUGGGCGAAAGCCUGAUCCAGCCAUGCCGCGUGCGUGAAGAAGGUCUUCGGAUUGUAAAGCACUUUAAGUUGGGAGGAAGGGCAGUAAAUUAAUACUUUGCUGUUUUGACGUUACCGACAGAAUAAGCACCGGCUAACUCUGUGCCAGCAGCCGCGGUAAUACAGAGGGUGCAAGCGUUAAUCGGAAUUACUGGGCGUAAAGCGCGCGUAGGUGGUUCGUUAAGUUGGAUGUGAAAUCCCCGGGCUCAACCUGGGAACUGCAUUCAAAACUGACGAGCUAGAGUAUGGUAGAGGGUGGUGGAAUUUCCUGUGUAGCGGUGAAAUGCGUAGAUAUAGGAAGGAACACCAGUGGCGAAGGCGACCACCUGGACUGAUACUGACACUGAGGUGCGAAAGCGUGGGGAGCAAAC